CAGUUCCUACUCAUUCCAUCCAACCAAUGAAAAGCGGUCCGGUGAACAUACCCAUGCCCCAAAGAAGAGCGUCUUUAAAAGGGGGCGUUUCCGUUGAGCACCUGCCGCACGAAAAUGCGCUCGCCUGAAUGAUCCCACAGUAGGCUUAGCCUGUCUGCUUAGUCACCGUGAAUAUGGAAAGCUAGUGUUUUUGUUUUAUGGUUUUCCAGCCCGUAGGUAUAUAAAUCUCCUCUGAUCGGUCUAAGUGCGCAGUACGAUAAAGUGAGAUUAAUUGGAGUGCUGAAAAAAUGUUGCUCAAUCAAGUUUAUAAAGGUUGUUUAGUUUUCUCUAGAUGUCAAACAAGAAAAUCAUUUGCUGAAGCUAGUUGGUUAAGAACUCUUUCGACUGGCACUGAAAGAUCAAACAGACAUGAAUUCAAUGAAAAGGCUCAGUUCGGCAGCUCAAGACUUUUUAUGUUGGCAGGGCUUGGUGCUGCCGCUGCUGCUGGAUUUUAUUACUAUACAAAAUACAACCUUCCUAAAGUUCUGGCUCUAGAAAAUAAAGUGAAAGAAGGAACUGCAUCAGAAAGGGAACCAGGAAGUUAUGUGGAUGGUUUGCCAGUUUAUAGUUCUGUCGAUGUAGCCAAACAUAGAGAUGAAUCAACAGGUGUGUGGGUUAGUUACAAAAGUGGUGUCUAUGACAUCACUCAUUUCAUCAAAAGUCAUCCAGGAGGAAAUAAAAUUCUACUUGGAGCUGGGGUUUCUGUUGAACCAUUUUGGAAUCUCUAUGCUAUUCACAAACAACCAAAAACCUUGGCAUUAUUGGAAGAGUACAGGAUUGGAAACCUGACCAAGGGUGAGGAGGACGAUUCUAUGAUGAACAUGGGUGAUCCAUAUGCGAAUGAUCCUCAACGUCAUCCCGUCCUGACAAUCAGAACUAAGAAACCGUUUAAUGCUGAAACUCCAACCUCUCUGCUAGUGGACAACUUCAUCACCCCCACCGAAUUCUUUUACGUUAGACAUCACUUCCCAGUUCCAGACGUUGAUCUUUCAAGUGGCGACUAUUCUCUAGAAAUAAUCAGCGACAAUGAAAAAAAAGGUCUCAGUCUGAAUUUGGACCAACUAAAGACUACAUACGCGUCACAUAGUGUUACGGCCUCUCUGCAAUGUUCGGGGAAUAGACGAUCAGAAAUGAAUCGUACCAAACCCACAAAAGGUUUGGAAUGGGCCCAAGGAGCGAUGGGCAAUGCGGUGUGGAAGGGGGUUCGUUUGAGAGACGUGCUGCUUGACCUUGGCAUUAAGGAAAGCGAUGAAAACGAGCAUUGGCACGUCGAAUUUGAGGGAUUGGAUAUAGAUCCAACCAGCGCACCGUACGCUGUUUCUAUUCCGUUAAGUAAAGCUAUGGAUCCUCGAGGUGACGUCAUCUUGGCUUACGAAAUGAACGGCGAAACACUUACUCGGGAUCACGGUUUUCCGUUGCGAGUCGUCGUGCCUGGAACUACUGGCGCCCGUUGGGUCAAGUGGCUGACCCGAAUCGAAGUUGCAAGAAAUGAGAGCCAGUCUCAUUGGCAGCAAAAUGACUACAAGAGUUUCAAUCCGUCGUCGGACUGGGACAAGGUGGAUUUCUCCACAGCCCCAGCAAUUCAAGAAAUGCCCGUCACCAGCGUUGUCUGUGAUCCUCAAGAUGGAGAAACAGUAGAACUAAAGGACGGAAAACUUAAACUAAAAGGUUACGCUUGGAGCGGUGGUGGACGGGGAGUUGUGCGAGUCGACAUUAGUCUCGACUCGGGCAAAACGUGGCAUGUUGCAGAACUUCUUGAUCCAGUUAAACUAAGUCGACAAUGGGCAUGGACUCGGUGGCAAGCCAAUUUGCCUGUUACGGCGAAAGAAACAGAAGUCUGGGUCAGAGCUGUUGACUCCUCUUACAACACACAGCCAGAAGGAAUGGAACACAUUUGGAACAUGCGGGGUGUGUUGGCCGUUGGUUACCACAAAAUCAAAGUUUCGCUCAAAGCAGAUUGAUCAUGACAAAUCGCCGAGAUCAGGAUAGUUGGUGAAUCAAACGUUAAGUCCAGUCGACAAUCUACGGAAACUUUUGCGACCACAUUUUUUUAGUACUCGGCUAAUUUAUUUAUUUAUAUUUUAGUUUUUGAAAAAUUAAAAGAGGUUCCCCAGGGCGUCUAGGAGGGCAUGCGAUGUACGCAUGCAUCUAGAAUCACCGGGCACAAAUAUACGUACCUCAACACAUCCUUAAUAAUUAAUGAAGUAAACGAAUGCAGAGUCGCGACUUUCCUGCUGUCCUCUGUUCCACACGUUCCACUGCCACCAAUUAGAUAUAUGGUGUCAUUAAACGAGUUGUUUUGAAAACCCAAGAGUAAUGCUGUUUAAACACACACACACUAGGUAUUUUAAUUUGAACUAAGCCCGCUUUUCUCCGAGUCUGAAAAUCGCGAGUUUUUUCUUGAAUAUUAAGCAUCAUGUCGUGAACUCAUAAAAUGAAAAUGUUUUGUGUUUGUAAACGGCUGACGGUUGGGGGUACCGGGUACCCUCUCUAGUCUCUACAUCUGAUGGCUGGAGCUACCCUACCCCUUUCUGACGGCUGGGUGUACGGACCCUAUCCUUCCCGGACCCUACCCUUUCCAGAACCGUCAGGCCGCUAGGGGCGCUGUGACGGCCGGGUGUUCAUCCGUUCCGUCCGUCGUCCGUGGAUGCUAAAGGCUGUUACUAGGUCUGCAUUUCUAAAAAGCCGACUGUCCUUCAAACGUUCGAAAUGGCAGAUUUAUUCAUCCACCGAAGAAAUGACUCAAAUGUCAAUUGACCCAUCCCCAUCCCCAGCAACCUGAAGAAAGAAAAAGGCCAAUUUCCAUGGCCUUCAGAGUUCAGACUCGAAGGUCGCAGAGAUAAUUACGUAAAACAUGUUAUGCAGUGGUGUAGAGGUUGGGUGAGAACGGGAAGUUUUGCAUCAUUAUCAAAAAGGUCCAACAGCCGCAAGGCUUGAGAGGAGGGGUGAGAAAAAGUCGUAUAAUAUGAUGCGAGAGAAAAGUUGACAGGGAUCAGUCGAGCGAGUAUCUCCGACCCGGCAGCAGCUGCAUUCUUCGUCGUAAUAUCAGGUCACAAUCACGGUUAACUAUGCCGUCGUGCUGCUAUGGGUUGUUGUAUCGUCGAUGGCUGGGUCGACCACUGAUGUACCGACGUCUCCUGAGUAAGGCGGAUACCAAACCGCAACGCCACCGCCUUACUACACAACACAACGACCAGAUACUACACCGAGGUAGCACUGUUGGGUUUACAGUUAAACCACCAAGGAUCCAGAUUAUUACACCACAACUUAAGCUGCUCCUCGAGCUACACUACCAAAGCGCUAGAAUACUACGCCGAGGCACCUACUGAGACUACGCAACUACGUAUGUUGUCCCAACCUACGACACCGAGGCUCCAGCUUAUUACAUCACCAAAGCUGUCGUAAACUACACUGGAGCGCCCAAGUACGACAGAAAUCAGUCAAGUUAGCUUCUCGGACACCCAACCCCGUAGCUCCGAAGUUUUGAAUAAACUUCGUUUGAAACGGUGGUACGACAAAGAGUGAAGACGAAUUCUACUGCAAUCGCGUCGAAUUGUGAAAAGCAAAGAUAACACAUUCGUACGUGUACACCGCGCCGUUAAACUUGACAUUGUCGGUCGGCAAGCCGCACUUGUCGAUGGCCGUACAUCACCUACGACCAGUGCGUUAUUGCCACAGGUGGCAAACGAAAAUCUUUUCCAAUCCCUGAGCGGUGCCCUUAAAGAUGCCUACGAGCACGUCACGCUGUCCCGCAACAUCGAUGGCGCUAACACAUGCCGAGUCCUCUAAAUAUUUGAGCCAAUGGACAACCGAGAAGGAGAAAGCGGAAAGUGUUAAUGUGUUGCCCAAAGCUAAUGUUGAGGGUGCAAUUUUGGAAGAUUACAAGGUCGCAUUGACCUUAAACGAUGGUCAAAAGGAUUUAAACUGACCAUGUCGUCGCUGCUGUCGGUUGGGACGCAAACAUGGAUUUGGCUGUCGCUUUUGGCUUGGAAAUAGAUUCCAAUUAUGGUGGUUAUCGAGUCAAUACCGAACUUGAAGCACGAUCGAACGUCUAGUUGGCUGGAGAUGUUGAGUUCUUUUGUGAUAUCAAAUUGGGUCGUUGUCGUAUGGAACCUUACCACCAUGCUGUUGUAUCAGAGCGAUUGGCUGGAGAGAACAAUACUGGCAACGAAUCGUGGAUGAACAACUGCAGUGCACUGUCACCAAGUGCAUUCUUCGUCGUAUUAUUAGUACGCAAUCGGUUAACUAUAGCGUCGUGCUGCUGUUGAUUGUUGUACCGUUGAUGACUGGGUUGACCUGGUGUACUCAUGUCUCCUGGGUAUGGUGGAUACCGAAUCGUAAUGCCGCCGCCUUACUACACAAUAACAGCAUACGCAAUUACCAGUUACUAGACCGCCAAGGCACCAGAGUAUUACACCACACCUUAUGAUGCUACAAGCUACUACACGAAGCCCUCAAAUUUAACUUUGCCCCGAGUUACAUCAAUAAGGAGUUCGAAUACUACACCACCCAGGUAUUGGAGUCCUACACGACUACGUAUGCCGCCCCAGCCUACUACACCGAGGCCUUAAGUACUACUCUGUGCCCAGCUACUACACCGAAGCUCCAGCUUAUUACGUCAACCAAGAGUACCACACCUAAACGCACAAAUACUACUUUGCCCCGAGCUACGCAACUACAACUGAGGCGGUCCACUAUUACGCAGCAAAUACUUACUACACAGCGGCUGCUCCUUCGUACUACGUUGAUCCGAAAUACUAUGACUCAAUUUUACUACACCACAACCUACGCCACUCCUAGCUACUACACCGAAGCCCCCAAGUACUACACCAAAAAGGCCGAAUAUUAUGCAACCGUGAAUGCUGCCUCAGUUUACUACACCGAGAAACACAAGUAUUAAGCUGCUCCAACCAAUACCAAACAGAGGUUCCGGUUUAUUUCACCACCAAGGUCACCGAAUAUCACACUACAACCAACGCUGUCCCCACUUUCUACACUAAAGUUCCAGAGUAUUACUCUGCCACGAGUUACCAAACACUAAGGCACCUGAAUGUUACACCAUGACCUACGCUUCUUCAUUUGUCUAAAGUGGGGCUUCUAAAUACUAGCCGAAAUUUCAAUUUUACUUAGUUGUGUUCAGAUAUGUACGUCGUAUGCAGUUACUAAUCACUGGUAUUGUUGUUUUUCAUUGAGAAAAUACAUUUUUAAAUGCGGGUUA